AACGAACGCUGGCGGCAGGCUUAACACAUGCAAGUCGAACGCCCCGCAAGGGGAGUGGCAGACGGGUGAGUAACGCGUGGGAACAUACCCUUUCCUGCGGAAUAGCUCUGGGAAACUGGAAUUAAUACCGCAUACGCCCUACGGGGGAAAGAUUUAUCGGGGAAGGAUUGGCCCGCGUCGGAUUAGCUAGUUGGUGGGGUAAAGGCCUACCAAGGCGAUGAUCCAUAGCUGGUCUGAGAGGAUGAUCAGCCACAUUGGGACUGAGACACGGCCCAAACUCCUACGGGAGGCAGCAGUGGGGAAUAUUGGACAAUGGGCGCAAGCCUCAUCCAGCCAUGCCGCGUGAGUGAUGAAGGCCUUAGGGUUGUAAAGCUCUUUCACCGAUGAAGAUAAUGACGGUAGUCGGAGAAGAAGCCCCGGCUAACUUCGUGCCAACCGCCGCAGUAAAAC
rnacentral:rRNA from 1 species